GAUGAACGCUGGCGGCGUGCCUAAUACAUGCAAGUCGAGCGAACAGAUGAGGAGCUUGCUCCUCUGACGUUAGCGGCGGACGGGUGAGUAACACGUGGAUAACCUACCUAUAAGACUGGGAUAACUUCGGGAAACCGGAGCUAAUACCGGAUAAUAUAUUGAACCGCAUGGUUCAAUAGUGAAAGACGGUUUUGCUGUCACUUAUAGAUGGAUCCGCGCCGCAUUAGCUAGUUGGUAAGGUAACGGCUUACCAAGGCAACGAUGCGUAGCCGACCUGAGAGGGUGAUAGGCCACCCUGGAACUGAGCCACGGUCCAGACUCCUACGGGAGGCAGCAGUAGGGAAUCUUCCGCAAUGGGCGAAAGCCUGACGGAGCAACGCCGCGUGAGUGAUGAAGGUCUUCGGAUCGUAAAACUCUGUUAUUAGGGAAGAACAAAUGUGUAAGUAACUAUGCACGUCUUGACGGUACCUAAUCAGAAAGCCACGGCUAACUACGUU
rnacentral:rRNA from 1 species